UAAAUGAUGCCAGGUAUAAGUAUGGUGUGUUUAGCCAUGUUCCAACAGUUACCCCGUCUAAAUUAGCCCAGUCGGAGCAGAACAGUAGGACGUUAAACCUCAUUUCAUUUCAACAUUUACCUGAGUAUUGGCGAAUAUUUGUGGCAGAAACAAAAAGUGACCUACUAUUAGAUUCAAGAUGGCUACGAUGUUUGUUAAAGUUAUGAUAGUACUGGUUUUGGUUGGAAUUCUUAGUGUUCACGUUAAUGGCGGUAUGUGGGAAUACUUUAUAAAGGAGAAUGACGUUGAUAGCGAUGGCGUAUUAAAGGGUGCCGAGGAGUUGGCCAAGUUAAAGGCGUCGUUGAUGAAACUACUACGUAUAAGCGAGGACACAGCUCAAACGGCCAUUGAUUCGGCUGAUACAAACUAUAAUGGGGAGAUUAACGCAGAAGAAUAUGGAAGAAUGAGAACGGAGUUAUUGGAAUAAAUUAAAAUUGGAUUAUACUAUG